GAUGAACGCUGGCGGCGUGCCUAAUACAUGCAAGUCGAGCGAACAGAUGAGGAGCUUGCUCCUCUGACGUUAGCGGCGGACGGGUGAGUAACACGUGGAUAACCUACCUAUAAGACUGGGAUAACUUCGGGAAACCGGAGCUAAUACCGGAUAAUAUAUUGAACCGCAUGGUUCAAUAGUGAAAGACGGUUUUGCUGUCACUUAUAGAUGGAUCCGCGCCGCAUUAGCUAGUUGGUAAGGUAACGGCUUACCAAGGCGACGAUGCGUAGCCGACCUGAGAGGGUGAUCGGCCACACUGGAACUGAGACACGGUCCAGACUCCUACGGGAGGCAGCAGUAGGGAAUCUUCCGCAAUGGGCGAAAGCCUGACGGAGCAACGCCGCGUGAGUGAUGAAGGUUUUCGGAUCGUAAAACUCUGUUAUUAGGGAAGAACAAAUGUGUAAGUAACUAUGCACGUCUUGACGGUACCUAAUCAGAAAGCCACGGCUAACUACGUG
rnacentral:rRNA from 1 species